UACGGGGGGGGCAAGCGUUGUUCGGAAUUACUGGGCGUAAAGGGCUCGUAGGCGGCCAACUAAGUCGGACGUGAAAUCCCUCGGCUUAACCGGGGAACUGCUUCCGAUACUGGAUGGCUUGAGUGUGGGAGAGGGAUGCGGAAUUCCAGGUGUAGCGGUGAAAUGCGUAGAUAUCUGGAGGAACACCGGUGGCGAAGGCGGCAUCCUGGACCGGUAUUGACGCUGAGGCGCGAAAGCUAGGGGAGCAAACGGG
rnacentral:rRNA from 1 species